rnacentral:lncRNA from 1 species
AUGUCCACAGUGGGCCGGCCGUCCUCACGGAGCACCGCGCCUUGGGCAUGGACACUGUGUCCCUGCUCCACCAGGUCUGCGAGAGACACAGAGCAGCUGGGCUCAGCGUCUCCAGCCUCAUCGCUCACCACCUCUUCCAACCCCGGGCUCUGGUCAAUUCGUCAUCCUGGCCUAGAUUCAAUCAUGUCCCCUCAGAGAAGCUGCCCCACGCACAGGGCCUCCAGAGCCAGCUGCCUGAAGGCAGGACCCUUCCCGACUGUCCUGUCCAGAGGAUCCCCCAUAAAGAUGGCCCCGGGCAGUUCCCCUCUUUCCUGGAGACCUGGAUCCUCGGGAGUCUGGAGGUGCUCCCUGCUGCAUAGCCACAUGGGCAGCGGGGCCUGUGUUCCUACGCCCUGUGGAAGGGUGCCCAGCGAUCACACUCCCUCCACACGCUCUUGUCUCUUCCGAGCCUUCAAUGCCAUCUUUCGCAGCUUCUGCAGUCUACAAGCCUGGAACUCCGGACCUGACUGUGUAACUAAUGGUGCAUCUCCACUCGAUAUCCAAAGGCCUCUUCAACUCUACAGAACAGAAGCUCGACUUUCUCUAGGUUCUCACAUCCAAGUAAAUGGCACUGCCUUUUGCCCAGUUGUUCAGGCAGCACCUGAAAAGCAUCCUUUAUUCUUCAAUGCCUCCCAUGCUGCGUAUCCACACCAAGCAGCAGGACUGUCUUUUUCUCCAAAACACACCUGGAUGGGGCCUCUCCUGGCCGCACUAAGCCCCUGGGCAUCACGGUCGCCUGGAGUGUGUGGACAGCCUCUGGUGGGCUCCCUGCUGCAGCUGUUCCCGUCCUCUAUUGCACAGAGCAGCCAGUGA